rnacentral:rRNA from 1 species
GCACGUAGUUAGCCGUGGCUUAUUCACCAGGUACCUUCAAUUAACCGCGCACGGUCUUUUUAUCCCCUGGCAAAAGCAGUUUACAACGCAUAACGCCUUCUUCCUGCACGCGGCAUGGCUGGUUCAGGCUCUCACCCAUUGACCAAUAUUCCCUACUGCUGCCUCCCGUAGGAGUCUGGCCCGUAUCUCAGUGCCAGUGUGGGGGAUCACCCUCUCAGGUCCCCUACUGAUCAUCGUCUUGGUAGUCCGUUACACUGCCAACUAACUAAUCAGUCGCAUGCCCAUCUUGUACCACCUCAGUUUUUAUAACUGUGAGAUGCCUCACUAUUAUCUUAUGGAGGGUUAAUUCGAGUUUCCCCGAGCUAUCCUCCUGUACAAGGUAGGUUGCAUACGUGUUACGCACCCGUACGACACUCUAGCUAGUGUAUUGCUACACCAGUUACCGUUCGUCUUGCAUGUAUUAAGCCUGCCGCUAGCGUUCAUC